rnacentral:rRNA from 1 species
CGGGGUGCACCAGGCGCGAAAACUUUACAAUGCCGGCAACGGCGAUAAGGGAACCUCGAGUGCCAGGUUACAAAUCUGGCUGUCGUGAUGCCUAAAAAGCAUUGCAUAGCAAGGGCCGGGCAAGACCGGUGCCAGCCGCCGCGGUAACACCGGCGGCUCGAGUGGUAACCGUUAUUAUUGGGUCUAAAGGGUCUGUAGCCGGCCGGGUAAGUCUCUUGGGAAAUCUGGCAGCUUAACUGUCAGGCUUUCAGGAGAUACUGCCUGGCUCGAGGCCGGGAGAGGUGAGAGGUACUUCAGGGGUAGGGGUGAAAUCUUGUAAUCCUUGAAGGACCACCAGUGGCGAAGGCGUCUCACCAGAACGGACCUGACGGCAAGGGACGAAAGCUAGGGGCACGAACCGGAUUAGAUACCCGGGUAGUCCUAGCCGUAAACGAUACUCGCUAGGUGUCGGCCACGGUGCGACCGUGGUCGGUGCCGUAGGGAAGCCGUGAAGCGAGCCACCUGGGAAGUACGGCCGCAAGGCUGAAACUUAAAGGAAUUGGCGGGGGAGCACAA